rnacentral:tRNA from 1 species
GAGCGAGUGGUGGAACGGCAGACACGUACGCUUCAGGAGCGUAUGCCGCAAGGCAUGAGGGUUCAACUCCCUCCUCGCUCA